rnacentral:rRNA from 1 species
CGUCUAUAUACGUAUAGCAUAUCAAUAAGCGGAGGAAAAGAAACUAACAAGGAUUCCCUUAGUAACGGCGAGUGAAGCGGGAAGAGCUCAAAUUUGAAAUCUUCAAGGUUUUACCUUGACGAAUUGUAGUUUAAAGAAGUGUUUUCUGUUGAAGUUUCGGUAAAAGUUCUUUGGAAUAGGACAUCAUAGAGGGUGAGAAUCCCGUAUUUGACCAGUUAUUUUCCAGCUGUGUGAUACACUUUCAAAGAGUCGGAUUGUUUGGGAAUGCAGUCCAAAAUGGGUGGUAAAUUUCAUCUAAAGCUAAAUACUGGCGAGAGACCGAUAGCGAACAAGUACCGUGAGGGAAAGAUGAAAGGAACUUUGAAAAGAGAGUUAAACAGUACGUGAAAUUGUCAAAAGGGAAGCGUUUGACACCAGUGUUGUUUUCUCGAAAAUCAAUUAAAAAUGGCGGGAUUUUGUGUUGUAUUGACUUUAUCAGCUUUCUGCACUUUUUUCCUAUCUUUUUUAAUGCACUUUUCGUUUAACAAGUCAACAUCAAUUUCUUUUGUUGUAAAUGGGUCAUUGGAAGGUGGCUUUCUUUUCGGAGAAAGUGUUUAUAGCCUUUGGACUUCUGCAAUCGGAGAGAUUGGGGUCUGCAGCGUAGAUCCCUUCGGGGUUAGAUACAUUUGUGCUAAGUUAUAGCCUUUCAUAGACAACUUGUUGACUAUGAUCAGUCAUGUAGCUUACUCGCUUAUGUCUAUUUUACCUACGCUUAGGAUGUUGACGAUCAGCUGAGCGCG